rnacentral:ncRNA from 1 species
CACCUCCCGUCGCUCCUACCGAUUGAAUGGUUUGGUGAAGUGUUUGAAUCGCGGCGACAAGGGUGGUUCGCCGUCCCCAACGUCGCGAGAAGUCCAUUGAACCUUAUCAUUUAGAGGAAGGAGAAGUCGUAACAAGGUUUCCGUAGGUGAACCUGCGGAAA